rnacentral:rRNA from 1 species
AUUGAACGCUGGCGGCAUGCCUUACACAUGCAAGUCGAACGGCAGCACGGGAGCAAUCCUGGUGGCGAGUGGCGAACGGGUGAGUAAAGUAUCGGAACGUGCCCAGUCGUGGGGGAUAACGUAGCGAAAGUUACGCUAAUACCGCAUACGAUCUAUGGAUGAAAGCGGGGGAUCGCAAGACCUCGCGCGAUUGGAGAGGCCGAUAUCAGAUUAGGUAGUUGGUGGGGUAAAGGCUCACCAAGCCGACGAUCUGUAGCUGGUCUGAGAGGACGACCAGCCACACUGGGACUGAGACACGGCCCAGACUCCUACGGGAGGCAGCAGUGGGGAAUUUUGGACAAUGGGCGGAAGCCUGAUCCAGCCAUGCCGCGUGCAGGAUGAAGGCCUUCGGGUUGUAAACUGCUUUUGUACGGAACGAAAAGGUUUGGCCUAAUAAGCUGAGCUCAUGACGGUACCGUAAGAAUAAGCACCGGCUAACUACGUGCCAGCAGCCGCCGUAA